UUUCCGAAUUUUAAAAUUAGUUUUUUAAACAACUGCGAAUUAAGUUUCGGAAAAUACCACAAUCCAAUUUUAAGGUGUUAGCAAGUCGUCCAGGCCGGAUUUGGAGCCGAAAUUUGCAGCGGAUGAGCCGUGAGGCGGUGCCCAUUUCAGAGGCUACGUGUUGUCGGAAAAUGUAAUCGUAGAGACAAUUUCGCACCAACAUCCGGAAAUGUCCAAUCGCCACGGAAAACCCGGGAAACUGCACCGAGCAGCUGCGGAAAUCUGCCACAAGCGGAACAUGAUAGAUGGUUUCCAAUAUGCCGCCUUGCGAAGUAACUGCCCAUGAUGCUGGAUGAUUCAACGCAGCUGUCUGAAAUGUGGCAGCUGUCUGAAAUUUGCAACAGGCAAUCCGGGAAGCAAAUUAAAUUUUUAAUAAUUUUUGUCGGCUACCUUAUAGUCAUAUUAUGCACCGAAUAGACUGCCGUUGGAAGCAUAAUUGUCACAUGUUACAAAAAGGCAAAGCGAGAAAAACGCAAUUAAAGUUUCACCAAAACAUUUUGCUGUUAUCGCACAGUUUCGCAACUUUUGUUGACUUCAAUGCCGUAGAUCUCUAAAGUAUAUUCCUUUCAUACGAGCCUCGAUCUAAUUUUUCAAAAAUGAACUGUUUUUUCAAUGAAAACCCUUGUGUGACA